rnacentral:RNase_P_RNA from 2 species
GCGGAUGGCUGGAUGACCGCGUGGGGGCAACCCCGCGAGGAAAGUCCGGACUCCAUGAAGGAACGGUGCCGGGUAACGCCCGGCGGGGGCAACCCCAGGGAAAGCGCCACAGAGAACAGACCGCCCCUGCUCGCAGGGGUAAGGGUGAAACGGUGGGGUAAGAGCCCACCGCGGGACUGGCAACAGGACCGGCACGGCAAGCCCCACCGGGAGCAACGCCGAAUAGGGGCCUCGCGCGGGGCUGGUCGGGCAACCGAUACCGCCGCAGGGUAACUUCGACCCGAGAGGUCCGGGUUGGCAGCUAGAGCGCGCAGGCAACCGCGCGCCCAGAUGAAUGGUCAUCAAAGGGGGCAACCCCGGAACAAAAUCCGGCUUACAGGCCAUCCGCGCGU